UUCAACAGAACCCUCAACUGAAGCCAUUCCUGAUAUCCAUGACAUAAAUCAAGGUUAAAUUUAUACAUUUUUAACCUUAUUGUAGUUCUGCUCUUUAAUUACUGAUGAAUAAGUAUGCCAUAUAUGUGAAAAGAGUUAUGGAAUAAAUGAAUAUUUAUAUGCUUUGUUUGUUGUAAUGUUAUACGAUAAUUUAUUUAUGUUUCAGUUAUGGAAACACAUAGCAAAGUCAUUCCACAUAUUGAAAAAGAGAAAGAGUCUGCAGGUGAUUUACCCAUUUCUGGAAAAGAUACGGGAACUCAUACAAAAAUCAUUCAAGAAGGGGCUAAAGGGAAAGAGACGGAUAAACAUGUAUCCAAUUCUGGAAAAGGUAGGACUGGUCUGUCCUUAAACAAGGGAAAUGAAAUCAUUAUCAGAAAAAGAGCCAGGGCUAAGGAG